GUUUUCUCCGCUUCUGCUUAAAACUCCUGCACAAAGGAACUUUACAAACAUCUGAAUUGGCACAAAGGCGAGAAUGCAGCUCCAAAACUUGCCACAUCCUCUUGCAGUGGAUGCAGCCACCUGGGACUCUCAACUUGCACCCAGCAAAGUGACGAAUAAGGGAUUCUAGCCCUUUGCAUGCUGCAUAAUGGCAUGGUUCUUGAUCCUCUUUCAAAACCUUAUCGUGAGGACCAAUUGUACGGCAACCAUCUUUGCAUAUGUGAACCAGGGCUUCCAUUGCCUCAUAUAACUGCAUAUACAUUUUCCUCUCAUUGCUCUUUCUCACCCUUUCCUUUUCCCUAAUAUCCUCAUCAAUUAUGGAUUUCAACAUCUGUUUUUCAAGCACAGGAUGGCUUUG
rnacentral:misc_RNA from 1 species